UCUUCGACCUACACCACACCUUGUGGCAACACCGAAUCCUUCACCCACUGAGUGAAGGCCGGGGACCCAAGCCACAUUCUCAUGGAUAUUAGUCAGCUUCUCAACCCACGGAGCCACAAUGGGAACUCCUCCCCGAAGGUUUUAUUUGAAGGAGUUUAUAGACCAGUGUGGGGGCCUCAAACUUUUGCCAAUGUUUUCAUCACAAGGAUAAACACCUGUAACAUAAUAGCAGCUGGACACUUGCUCUGUGUCAGGCACUAUUCCAAGAGCUCUAUGUAUGCAGAGCUUCCUCGUCACCCUGUAAGGUAGAUGCCAUUAGCCUUGGUUUACAGCUGAGCGCACUGAGGCACAGGGAGGUUAAGAACUCACCCGGGACACAGAGCCACCAGGUGGUAGAGACAGAGACAGUGUCCGGAGACUUUAGGACACGGCCAGUGGCACGAAGGAAAAGUCAGUCUUUCUUGGGAGGAUCUCAACCCUCCCUCGGCCAUGCCACUGAGUAGCAAUAGCAAGAAUGCAUGAAGUGGAAUUCCUAUCGUGGCGCAGCGGAAACAAAUCUGACUAGGAACCAUGAGGUUGCAGGUUCGAUCCCCGGACUCACUCAGUGGGUUAAGGAUCCAGCAUGGCCAUGAGCUGUGGUGUAGGUUGCAGACGCAGCUCAGAUCCCGUGUUGCUAUGGCUGUGGCACAGGCUGGCAGCUGUAGCUCUGAUUAGACCCCUAGCCUGGGAACCUCCAUAUGCCGCAGGUGCGGCCCUAGAAAAGACAAAAAAAAAAAAAAAAAAAGAAUGCGUGAAGUGACCCUGGGAGGCCAAUCAGGGGGCCCGGGCAGGGCCUGAGCCGGGCCAUGCCUCAGGGAGUAAGUGGCCAGGGAGAAAGGCCAAGGCGAGCGGGCAGACCAAGGGCCUGGGGUCACUAUGAGGGGAAGCAGGGCUCUGAGGAGGCAGGGCCCGCUGCAUCGCUUCCUGGACAAGCUGGGAGGCCUGCAGGGCCAGAGGGGCCCAGAGACCACAGGCUCCACACAGGUUUCCACGUCCCACACCUGGAGCCGAGAGGUGCUGUUGGAGAACCAGGGUCCCGGUGCAGGGAGGGAGGGAUCCCACCCAAGCCCAAGCACUGGAGGGACCGCCCAGGGCGGAGGAGGGACUGAGAGGCAACCUGUCCCCCAGGCUCAGAGGAGAAGUCACAAACCUCACCAACGGAGAAUAAGCAGAUUCCACACCCGCUAUGUGAGAGGGAAGUGAAACUGCCACUCCAAUGCCUGUUCCCCCACCCCUGUGCCCACUGGCACCCUUGCUCGUCCCCGCCCAGCCCACGCAACACCAGGACAGUAGGCUCCCGGCACCCAGGUGAGGCCUUCCACGUGCUUUCAGGGGCUCCCUUCGGGUCCUUCAAGCACUGGGCCACAAAGGUGGCUCUCAGAGCUGUGCUGGCCUGGUCUGUCCUCCUUGGAGAGGUGGGAGGUGGGGGGGCACACUGAGGGCUUGUAAGCUCCAAGAGGUGAGGAGCUGUGCCUGUCUUGUUCUUUUUUCCUUUUUUAAAAAUUUUUAGGAAGUGCUCAUUGUGGCUCAGCAGUAAUGACCCUGACUAGUAUCCAUGAGGACGCAGGUUCCAUCCUUGGCCUCACUCAGUGGGUUAAGGAUCCAGGGCAUCGAACCCGCAACCUUAUGGUUCCUAGUCUGGUUUGUUAACCACUGCGUCACGAUGGGAACUCUGCAAGUGAGGUGCUCUUUAAGGAGCCCCCCUCACCCUGCAGUGCUCCUGGGACAAGGGCGAGGGAGUCAAACCCUCUACCUCUGACCAGGGGUGAGGCCAGCCAGGGAAGAGGGCCAUAGCAGAGUGGGGGGCCCUGGCCCCUCGGCCCCAGGGCUCCCCCAGAGAGAUGUCCUUUAGAGAAUGCUUCUCUCAGACAUUUCACAGUUGAAAAGCCAUCCUCACGUGUGUGACACAUGCCUUUUGGUCCCUGCCUGUCCGGAUCCUGGCACAAAGGCUCCUUGGGGCCCCACAGCAUCCAAUCCCUCUCCUGGUAACCUUUCAGACCCAAAGCUCCACUAUGUAAGAUCCCCAAACUCCUGGCAGCUAAAUGUGGCAGGUGACCAACUUUUUGCCAAAGAGAUAAGGGACCUGACAAUCUGGGGUCAUGUCCUGAAGAGGAAGGGUAGUGCCCCCUCCUUCCCUUUUCUCCCUUCACACUGGCUGGGUCACAGACCCAGGGGAGGGGCAGUGCUGUCUUCAACAUCUAAGGGCACAGACAGGCCACAGUCUGGGAGGAGUGGGGGUCCCCAUUCCUGUCCAGCGAUCCGAUCGCCCACCCAGACCUGCAUGCAAGAAAUUUCCAUCCUGUUCAGGCUCCUGAUUCGGGGUCUCUGUUACAGCAGCCAAACCUCUCCCUGCGCCUUUUUUUUUUUUUUUUCAGGGCUGCACCCUUGGCAUACGGAAGUUCACAGGCUAGAGGUCCAACCAGAGCUGCAGCUGCCAGACUGCACCACAGCUACGGCAACGCCGGAUCUCAGCCUCGACGGCGACCCACACUGCAGUUCACGGUAACACUGGAUACUUAACCCACUGAGCAGGGCCAGGGAUUAAACCCGAGUUCUCAUGGAUACCAGUCGGGUUCGUAACCUGCUGAGCCACAACGGGAACUCUCUCCUGAUGCCUCCUGCAGCCCGUUCCUGGUGCAAUGUGUGAGAGGGACCUUCCUCCUUGUCCAAGUGCUCAUCCUUGCAGCAACCUGUCACCUCACUCCAUCAGGUCCGCUCUCCCAAGGGUCAGAGAGAGCCUUCUAGGAAUGCUGCCCCAGCUACCGCACAGGAGGGGAACAUCUCCUCCACAAAAUACAACCGAUUCUUCCUUCGAGUCAACCAUUUCCCCAACCACCUCCUUUGUGAGAAGAGGCUCUUCCACGCUCAGGGACACACUGCACCCAGUCAGGCCAACGCCAUCCUGUGGGGAAGGCGCCAAAAACACAGGGGCUUCAGAUCUGCACCCACGUCUCCUCUGGGCUACUUCACAGCUGUGUUACCCCUAGACCAACCUCUUAGCCUCUCUGAGCCUCUGUUUCUUCCUUUGGAAAAUGUGGAUGAUAAUGAUGCACAUGGGUUUGUGGAGAGAAUUCAGGCUGAUAAAGCUACACAGUGGCUAGCAGUGUGCCUGGCACACAGCGGGUGCUCAUUACAACGGACGUAGACGUGGGGAUACUGAGGACUUGGUGGGAGGGUGCAGGGUGGCCGGAAAGGGGGUGAAGGAGAGAAGUGAGGAGAAGCAACCACGGCCGUAAAGAGGAAGAGAGAGGCAGAGCUGGAGGUGAUAUGAGGAGCGGGAGGGUUCCCCGAUGCCCACACCGGGCGAGAGGGCGGAGGGCACAGCUGCGGUGUCUAUCAGCUGCCUCCAGCUCACACAGCCCCUGGGUGCAUCUCACACGGUCUCCACCCAGCGCUUCUGUCUGGGUUGGCCGCCCUCACCACCACUGCCAUUGUUGCUGCACUGUCAGCUGCUGUUUCUUGCCUCAUCUUCCUUCCUGCCCCUGAUAGGCCAGAAGAAGGGGACAGGAAGCAGCUGCCUUGCCCAGCAACCACCCUACCCCUGUGGGCUGGAGCGGCCCGGGGUGGUUAAGAGCCCAGGCUCUGUAGACAGGCUGGGUUCUGUCCCCUGCUCUAGCCCUUAAGAGCUGGUGACCUCAGCAAGUUAUGCGGCUUGUCUAAUCCUUCAAUUUCCUCGUCUGCACAACAGGGAUAAUAGGGCUGCUGAGAGGAAGGAAUGAGAUCAUGCGUGGUGAGCGCCUAGCACAGGGUCUGGCGUUCCAGCAAGCAUUCGAUGAAUGCUGGUGACCCUCGGGGCUGGCCUUACGGGCAGGUGACCUGGGCAGGCCCACAGAGCUCUGUGCUCAGAAGGGUUCCACCUUUGGUUUAAUGCUCUGUUGCCACCACCUUGAAAUUUUUUUUUUUCUUUUUUGGCCACCCUGGGGCAUAUGGAGCUCCUGGGCCAGGGAUCAGAGCCGAGCUACAGUUGCAACCUAAGCUGAAGUUGCGGCAACGCCAGAUCCUUAACCCACUGUGCUGGGUGGGGGAUCGAACCUGUGCCCCAGUGCUCUCAAGAAACCACAGCAGGAACUCCCAUCUUGAAAUUCUUUAUA
rnacentral:lncRNA from 1 species